CAGAGCCACGUUUAGGUUCUGAAGGCUGGGCUGGUAGAUUGGGGGUUGUCAGGCCAAGGCUAGGAGAUGGGAUCAGGGCAAGGAAGCGGGGUGGGUCUGGAGACUGAAUCUAGCACCUGUCCAGUACCUGUGUGUUGGGUUAGCCUUAGCAUGGUUGCCCCCUUCCCCUGCAGGGCCAGGUGUGGGUCAUGCCAGCCCUCUUCCUCCUCUCCUUGGGGCUGGGACAGUGCAUGCCUGUCUCUGGAUGUGGCUGGAGUCAGGCUCCUAGGACCAGGGCAGGGUCUCAUUAGCCCAGAGCAGGCCUUGGGUGGGCAGAUGGACCUGAUGAAUGGUUAACUGUUGCGCUGGGCAGCCACAGCUUGCAUCCCACCCCACUCUGGCCACUCUGCAGUCCCUG
rnacentral:lncRNA from 1 species